rnacentral:rRNA from 1 species
GACGUAGGAUGCAAGCGUUAUCCGGAAUUAUUGGGCGUAAAGGGUUCGUAGGUGGUUUGUUAAGUUGGAUGUUAAAGCCAUGAGCUCAACUCAUGACAGGUAUUCAAAACUGGCAGACUUGAGACAGGUAGAGGCAGGUAGAAUUCUGUAUGUAGGGGUAAUAUCCGUAGAUAUACAGAGGAAUACCAAAAGCGAAGGCAGCCUGCUGGACCUGUUCUGACACUCAAGAACGAAAGCGUGGGGAGCAAACGGG